rnacentral:misc_RNA from 1 species
UUGAAUUGCAGGGGAAAGCUUCUAGCACUGGAAAAUUUACAUGAAAAGCCCAUAUUAUCACGUCAAUCAAAGAUGAUUGUAAAAGUAUCGGAAAAUUACACACUAUCUUACAUCAUUAAUCUAUUGAACAAUUAUUGUUUUUUUUUAGUGAAGGGAUUUGGAGAGUUGAACUCAAAUUUAACUCUGUCAAUUGGGUGAUAUGCUUACCGUCACUAAACCAAGUUAUUGUUUAUCAAAGAUAAUUAUAAAAGAAAUGAAAAAUUACACAUCAUUAGUCUAUUAAUCAAGUGCUAUUCUCUCAUUUCUUGAAUUUCCACACUCUGAUUUCCCUGCCAUUGUGUGUAGUGACCACCUUCUUCAUCCCAACAGCCAAGCAUGUGAUGGAAGGUCGAAAACUUCGAGGAAUUUGGUCGACGCUGGCAUCGCGGGAGAGCCUUUUCCCUAUUCUUCUUUUGAUCACUCCAUGUGCAUAUCUAGAGGAGCUUGAUGAGGCAUCAUGAUCCAUAACAUAGCUUGAGAGAACCUCACCAGAGUCCUGAUCCAGAAUACGUAGCACACCAUCUAUUCCUCCAAUUACCAAAGUCGAUUUGUCAUUGCUCAGGUGCUGCAAAGAAUAUACAACAUUUGGACUCACUCGUGUCUCCCAUAAUCGUCUCAUCAUCCUGAGGUCAUAGCAAGAUGUAUAUCCAGCUGUUGUUCCCGCAAAUACUAGAUGAGAACAGGGGUUGAAACACAAAGUCUUUAUUCCUGUAACAGGAAGUUGAAUGAGAAUUACGUCAAGUAACUUGCAAUGCACGGUGCCUUAUCAAUUAAACAGAAAGUUUCACUGACAUGUUUAUUAUGUCUCAAACUGGCUGAUUAGAUGUAUUUGGAAAAGAAUUAACAUCCAAAAACAAGAAGCCAUAAGAAUUCCACUGUUUUUCUCGUAAUAUUUACAUCCGUGUAUCAAAGAUAAGAAAGCAAUUACUUACAAAAAGAAAUGAUCCAAGCAUCUGCAAAUAUGGUAUAAACAAAUGACCAUAGUACAAUUAUAAUCAAAGUUAUCCUUGAUAGAGUGAGAAAAAAGUACAACCUGUAGAAUCAGUGGGUCUCAGUGUAGUUUUCCACUGAUCAGAUGAAUAACCAGAUACUGUGAUCCUCCCUAGAGAGGAACCGCUAAGAAUUAACUGAUCAUCACCCAAAGAUAAGCAAGUCACGGGCUCCGGAUGCAUCCUAAUGAUUUUAGAACAUUUCCUACUGUACAUGUCAAAAACACGAACUGUGCCAUCCUCACAUCCAACAACAGCUUCUGGAUCAAGGUAACGCAUGCAUAGACCCUUCAUAUAUGUGCCUUGAUGAGAGGGAAAUGUACUCAUCUGCCCAUUGCGCCUCCAUAAGCAUAGCCGUGUGCCAAUCAAACCAACAAUCUUGCUCUCAUCGAAAUCAAAGUCAACUAAGGGGCAUGAAUCUGGGAUUGAAUAUUCUUCUACACAUUUGUAACUUUCUAAUGACCAAAGACGCAUAACCUUAUCACCUACACCAGUAAGAAUCAAGCCCAUCUUCAUUCGGCACUGGUCAGCCCUAACUGAAUGGGCUGUCCAUUGAUCAAUAUGAAUAGAAGGAGCUUCAAGUAAAGCUUGCCUAUGAUGCUCCAUAGCUAGCUCCUCUAGAUACCUACUCAGUGACUCCUCUAAACCGCUAGUACUACUUGAAAAUCCAACAGAAUUCUCCUUCAGCUGCUUCAAAUAAAGCACUUGAAGUAACUUUGAUCUUUUUAUUAUUGCAUUCCAGGAUUUGCAAACGGCAGAACAACGAACGAGGUCAAAAAAGCCGAGAAAUGAGAAGAUGAUGCAGAGGAUAUCAUGGUCCAAUAAAUGAAUUGCUGUUGGACCUCUCCAGGUCCUCUUCUUCACCGGCAACGGGUUGCCGACCGGUGUCGGGCCCAUUGUUCCCUCGUCACGAGGGCGUUUUCUGGCGCCACACUGACACACGUGCAAAGGUUAUCUUCCGGCAGAGGAGAGAGAGGGAGGGAGAUAAACCUAUGCUUCCGUCCUGCUCAGUAGGGUUGUGCGUUGGGUUGGGCGGAUUCACA